rfam:Fukomys damarensis contig112785, whole genome shotgun sequence.
GGGAAACAGGCAGAGGGGCCAGCCCCAGGCCCCAUAUCAAAUUUCUGGGGCA